rnacentral:rRNA from 1 species
UACGUAGGUGGCAAGCGUUGUCCGGAAUUACUGGGUGUAAAGCGCAUGUAGGCGGCCUAGCAGGUCGGAUGUGAAAUCCCUCGGCUCAACCAAGGAAGUGCAUUCGAAACCGCAAGGCUGGAGUCCCGGAGAGGAUGGUGGAAUUCUCGGUGUAGAGGUGAAAUUCGUAGAUAUCGAGAGGAACACCGGCGGCGAAGGCGGCCAUCUGGACGAGGACUGACGCUGAGAUGCGAAAGCGUGGGGAGCAAACAGG